rnacentral:rRNA from 1 species
CCUACGGGAGGCAGCAGUAGGGAAUCUUCCACAAUGGGCGCAAGCCUGAUGGAGCAACACCGCGUGAGUGAAGAAGGGUUUCGGCUCGUAAAGCUCUGUUGUUGGAGAAGAACGUGCGUGAGAGUAACUGUUCACGCAGUGACGGUAUCCAACCAGAAAGUCACGGCUAACUACGUGCCAGCAGCCGCGGUAAUACGUAGGUGGCAAGC